GUCCAUUCCAUGGGGUUCCAUUUACAUGUUACAGCAAUGGCACAGGAAGUGCUUCAUCAUUGUGCUGUGCUAUACCAGAAGCCAUUUUCUCCUUAGCAGAAAUUAGAUUCCUUCUGGAAAAAAAUAUAUCUUUCACAUCUUUGGAAUGAACAUGUUUUUGAGAAUUGGUACCCUGCAGAGCUGAACCUUUAUUAAGUUACUGUAGCACCUGAGAGGCCAGCACAUAUUUCAACUCAGCUCAGCAGUGUAAACAUUCAGCUCUAUUACA